CGCGUAGGCGGUUUGUUAAGUUGAAUGUGAGAACUCUGGGCUUAACCCAGAGCCUGCAUUCAAUACUGGCAGGCUAGAGUUCUGGAGGGGAUAGCGGAAUUCCUGGUGUAGCGGUGAAAUGCGUAGAUAUCAGGAGGAACACCGGUGGCGAAGGCGGCUAUCUGGACAGAGUCUGACGCUGAUGCGCGAAAGCUAGGGGAGCAAACA
rnacentral:rRNA from 1 species